UCGGACGUGGUGCAGGGCAGCACGGCUUCUCUUUCUGCGGUGGCAUUUAUUCACGUUUAGAGGAGGCAAGUCCGGGUUCGACUCCCGGCGUUCGAA